UUCCUGGUGGUCCAGUGGGUAAGACUCUGAGCUUCCACUACAGAGGGUGCAGGUUCAAUCCCUGGUCAGGGAA
rnacentral:tRNA from 1 species